rnacentral:tRNA from 1 species
ACCCCUUUAGUAUACUAGUACAGUUGACUUCCAAUCAACAAGGCCCGAGACUUCGGGAAGAGGUA